UUGUGUUCUGGGCCGACUCCAAAGAAAUAGCAGUUAUUGCCUUUAGUUUGAUUUUAAGAGUGGAAUAGUAAUUCCGGGGCAAGCUUCUAUUUUGUCAAAUCUGGAAUGCUUAUUCCGGAAUCCCAAGAAGAAAGAUGAGGAUGCUUGUUCUGGCCUGGCUUGGAAAGUAUAAGAACUUUGUAAUCCACUCAUACCCUUCUAUCAUUUCAAAAUGUGCAGGGCACAUAUCCCAUCGGCAUUCUGAUUGAGGAUACAAAUCCCUCCUCUCUGCGAUCGGACGCAGUGCCUGAUAUCUCAAUCUGUUCCUUAGGCUACUCUGCCACAAUCUUGAUCCCAUUUAAUGAGCGUUCUCUAGAAAGCCUUACCUCUCCAACUAGGCACUGUGUUUAAGAUCUUAAUCUCAUUCCUUGGACCAGUCUGGCAUCAAAUCUUGCUAUCAAACCUUGUUACUCUUCGUGAAAGUUCUGCAUUGAGCAUGAUUCCAAGAAGCUUCCUAACUAGCAAUUGAAGAGACUUCCUGGUUUCCGCUUGAGAUUCCUCUCGCCUUUGGAUGACAGUUACUAAUUUUGGAUAAGCUGGAGGUUUUACUUAUUCCAGCGUAAUUGAGGCAGAGCAUUGACUUGUGGGUCAGCCGCCAGUUCAAUCUCUUAGUCGGAACACCAUGGUACUGCCCUCUGAGCACACCAAUGAUCUUGAAGAUUAGAUUAUGGAAAUGUUCGUGUUUAUGGCACUCCAGGCGGACUAAUAUGGAUCCCGCCCCAGAGUGAUAAGAAUGAGAGUAGUGAAGAGCAGGAUGGAGGGAUUUGACGGUGGCACAAAAACAUGUGAUAAAUCUUGGCAUUUCUCUUUUGAUAGACUUUUUAUUUCAAAAUAAUUUUCAUUUUGUAAAUCAUCCUAGUAUAUAUUUGUUAUUUGUUUGAGAGCCUUUCAACUGUUUAUUUCAAUUGUAUUGGGGAUUGUAUCUAUAUUAACUUUUUGGGUGAACUAAUGAAGUUUAGCAAGUGUUUCGAAUUGGACACUAAAUUUUAAUCUGGCACCGAAUUUUACGCAUUAUUUUAAUAACAUUGAACGUAAAGUGAUCCCAAAAUCUUGAAACCGUGAAUUAUAAAUGCUACAGGGCUUCACAAUUAGAGAAAAAAAACUUACAAUUUCAUUGAAAACUGGAAAGGGUUUUGUACAGUUGUUCGCGAAAGAAGAAAUUUGAGAUUAUAACAAAAAAACCCCCAAUCACCUAAUCAAUCAGAUAUUUGAGAUUAUAACAAAAAACCCCCAAUCACCUAACCAAUCAUCAUCAGCAAUGAAAACCGAGAACGGAUCCAUCACUCACUUCAAUAACCACCGUACAAGUCGUUCGGCUCUCCACUCGAUGCGUGAACACCUUCAAAACCCUAACCCUACCUCCCAACUUCAUCCUCGAUUCUACCUGAAGCGUCGGCUCCACCAGCCCUACCCCGCCACCAACGCCAACGUCGCCUACGCCCAACGCAGUCGCCCCCGGAUUCACCGGCAGCGACUCGACGUUGAACGUUGCCACCAUGUAUUGCGUCUGGCCUGCCUCGAUCCGGCCUGCGGGGAUGGGCGUGAAGCCGAGCUCGGUGCCGGCGUAAAGGAUCUCCAGCGAGCUGUCGUAGUGCAUGAAGGCGUCGUGGUUAGGGUUCUUGACGGAUACCUGCUGCGAGAAUGUGAAGCUGGCGGAGCCGUUGGAGAUGGCGAAAGCAGGGAACCUCACGGCGUCCACAGCGACCUUCGGGUCUCUGGGCUUGAAGACGGAGAAGUAGACGAUGAGGAUGACGGCCACAACGAAGAGUAAGAAUAUAGUGGCUACCACACAUGAUGCUAGGUUUGUGUGGGUAGACCUUCGUGGUGGUCUGUGCAUAGUUACCUCAAAGUCUGUUUCUGCUUUUCUGUUUUUGUUUUCUUUGUUUUUUGUUUUUGUUUUGUUUUUUUUGGUUUUUGUUUUUGCUUUUUGUGCUUUUGUUUUUGUUUGUGUGUGUUUCCAAAGCAACAAGACGAUUUGCUGUAUUAAAAGGUGCGAGAAGAGAAGGGAGAGGGGAGGGGUUGUCUUGCUUUUGAUACUGGGCACUGGGCAGGGCUGCCUCUGGGAUACAAUUAUGCACUUAACAAAGGUAUUUUAAAAAGCACCCAAGAUGCUUUUAUUUUAUGCUAGGUGUUUUAAAGAUAACUUUUGAGUAAAAAUUACGUUUAGCAUAA